rnacentral:snRNA from 1 species
AUACUUGCCUAGCAGGGGAGAUGCCUUGAUUACAAAGGUGGUUUUCCCAGGGAGAGGCUUAUCAUCAAACUCUCUCCACGUGCUGACCCCUGCCAUUUCCCCAAAUAUGGGAAAUUUGACUGCAUAAUUUGUGGUAGUGGGGGGGCUGCAUUCACUCUUU